UACGGGGGGGGUAAGCGUUGUUCGGAAUUACUGGGCGUAAAGGGCUCGUAGGCGGCCAACUAAGUCAGACGUGAAAUCCCUCAGCUUAACUCGGGGAACUGCGUCUGAUACUGGAUGGCUUGGAUUCGGGAGAGGAAUGCGGAAUUCCAGGUGUAGCGGUGAAAUGACGUAGAUAUCUGGAGGAACACCGGUGGCGAAGGCGGCAUUCUGGACCGACAUUGACGCUGAGGAGCGAAAGCCAGGGGGAGCAAACGGG
rnacentral:rRNA from 1 species